rnacentral:lncRNA from 1 species
GCUGAUUGCAAGUUCUCAGUCAGAAACAUCUGCCAAGUGGCAGCAUUCACACAACACUUGUGAUAAAAGUCCCAACUCCUCCUCCGCAGCUUCAGCUAGGCCAAGCGAGGGGACCCAUCCGUUUGGAAAAACAGACCGGUGGCCCCUGGGCUUGUAUCAACUGCAUCAGAACCUAAAUCCGGAGAUGCGGAGAGGGGAAAGCCAGGUAUGUGCUUGAAACAAAAAUUUCAGCAUCAUUUGAACUAAACUCCUCAUUCUGGGUUAGCUAACUGGUGGGUUUAAAGAGUGACUUAAGAGUCCCUAUUAUCUCUUCUCCAGAUCAGCG